rnacentral:rRNA from 1 species
UACGGGGGGGGUAAGCGUUGUUCGGAAUUACUGGGCGUAAAGGGCUCGUAGGCGGCCAACUAAGUCAUACGUGAAAUCCCUCAGCUUAACUGGGGAACUGCGUGUGAUACUGGAUGGCUUGGAUUUGGGAGAGGGAUGCGGAAUUCUAGGUGUAGCGGUGAAAUGCGUAGAUAUCUGGAGGAACACCGGUGGCGAAGGCGGCAUCCUGGACCGGCAUUGACGCUGAUGAGCGAAAGCCAGGGGAGCAAACGGG